rnacentral:rRNA from 1 species
UACGGGGGGGGUAAGCGUUGUUCGGAAUUACUGGGCGUAAAGGGCUCGUAGGCGGCCAACUAAGUCAGACGUGAAAUCCCUCAGCUUAACUGGGGAACUGCGUCUGAUACUGGAUGGCUUGGAUUCGGGAGAGGGAUGCGGAAUUCCAGGUGUAGCGGUGAAAUGCGUAGAUAUCUGGAGGAACACCGGUGGCGAAGGCGGCAUUCUGGACCGACAUUGACGCUGAGGAGCGAAAGCCAGGGGAGCAAACGGG